AUUGAACGUCACAUCUCACAGCAGACGUCCAGGCUGAGACACCGGUGUGUUGUCAGUCUGCUGUCUUCGACGUGACUCAGCGGCUGCUGUGAGCUUGGCUCCUCGGCUUCUCACUGAGACACUUCGUGUUCACCGCAGCCAUCCGACCUUGAGCAGUGUACCUCUGUUCCUGGAUCACGAGAAGUGUGUCCCGUCUCCCCGUAUUCCCACUGCUUCCUUGGCUGCCUCUUGGAUCUCGACCUUCCGCCUGGACACGACUUUGACGCCUCUCUCUUCCCCUCGACCUCGCGUCUGCUCACGGACCUCCGAGCCAGCCUUGCCCCUUUUGGACUUCCUUCCGCCUUUCACUCAACACUACAGAUUCUUGAUGCCAAAGGACUGACAGGCACCUCAGAACAUGUGCCAACCUUGGCCACGAUGGAGACGGUGGAGGCGGUGGAUUGUUUGAAGCGUCUUCUGCUGAAGUCAUUAGCUGCUUUCUCAAUUGAGAACACUUCCAGCACUGGUCAGCACUAUGAAGAUGAGGAGAGAAGGUUUAAAAAUCUCCAACGCUCGUUGUAUCUGAACACACUUCAAUUAUACUGAGUGUCUUCAUUUAAAAGUCAAACACCGCAGUACUGCUAUACAAAGGGAACAAUGGCAAAUCACUGGAUUUGUAUCUUAAAAAAAUCAUGUUUCCACCAUUUCAGGUUGGAACUAUAAAACCAGAUUUGGCUUGCAUUUACACAACAAGUUUAGAUACUGUAUUGACCAGAAUAUAAGAUCAACCUGAAUAAAAGCUGACCUAUCUAUUUCAAAACCA